UACAGAGGUCUCAAGCGUUGUUCGGAUUCAUUGGGCGUAAAGGGUGCGUAGGCGGCGCGGUAAGUCGGGUGUGAAAUCUCGGAGCUUAACUCCGAAACUGCAUUCGAUACUGCCGUGCUUGAGGACUGGAGAGGAGACUGGAAUUUACGGUGUAGCGGUGAAAUGCGUAGAUAUCGUAAGGAAGACCAGUGCGAAGGCGGGUCUCUGGACAGUUCCUGACGCUGAGGCACGAAGGUCAGGGAGCAAACGGG
rnacentral:rRNA from 1 species